rnacentral:rRNA from 1 species
GCAGAAUUCAGUGAAUCAUCGUAAUCUUUGAACGCACAUUGCGCCCCUUGGCAUUCCUUGGGGGCAUGCCUGUUCGAGCGUCACU